GAUGAAGAACGUAGCGAAAUGCGAAAAGUAAUGUGAAUUGCAGAAUUCAGUGAAUCAUCGAAUCUUUGAACGCACAUUGCGCCCGCUGGUACUCCGGCGGGCACGCCUGUCCGAGCGUCAUUUCAACCCUCAAGCCCUCCUUCGGGAUGGGCCUGGUGUUGGGGCUCGGCCGCCAUCUCCGGCGGCCGUCCCCUAAAUACAGUGGCGGUCACGUCGCGACUCCUUUGCGUAGUAGAAACACCUCGCUCCGGAUAGCAACGCGGUCCACGCCGUAAAACCCCCAAUUUUCAAUGGUUGACCUCGGAUCAGGUGGGAAUACCCGCUGAACUUAAGCAUACAAUAAGCGGAGGA
rnacentral:misc_RNA from 1 species